rnacentral:rRNA from 1 species
AAUAGAUACCCUGGUAGUCCACGCCGUAAACGAUGAGUGCUAAGUGUUAGGGGGUUUCCGCCCCUUAGUGCUGCAGCUAACGCAUUAAGCACUCCGCCUGGGGAGUACGGUCGCAAGACUGAAACUCAAAGGAAUUGACGGGGGCCCGCACAAGCGGUGGAGCAUGUGGUUUAAUUCGAAGCAACGCGAAGAACCUUACCAGGUCUUGACAUCCCAUUGACCACUAUGGAGACAUAGUUUUCCCUUCGGGGACAACGGUGACAGGUGGUGCAUGGUUGUCGUCAGCUCGUGUCGUGAGAUGUUGGGUUAAGUCCCGCAACGAGCGCAACCCUUGUUCUUAGUUGCCAUCAUUUAGUUGGGCACUCUAAGGAGACUGCCGGUGACAAACCGGAGGAAGGUGGGGAUGACGUCAAAUCAUCAUGCCCCUUAUGACCUGGGCUACACACGUGCUACAAUGGGCGGUACAAACGGUUGCCAACCCGCGAGGGGAGCUAAUCCGAUAAAACCGUUCUCAGUUCGGAUUGUAGGCUGCAACUCGCCUACA